rnacentral:rRNA from 1 species
UCCUACGGGGGGCUGCAAUUAGGAAUCUUGCGCAAUGGGCGAAAGCCUGACGCAGCAACGUCGCGUGGAGGAUGAAGGUUUUCGGAUUGUAAACUCCUUUUAUUGGGGAACAAGUUCUGAGUGUACCCAAUGAAUAAGGCCCCCCUAACUACGUGCCAGAAGGGUCGGUGAUGCGUAGGGGCCAAACGUUAUCCGGAAUUACUGGGCGUAAAGAGAUGCGUAGGCGCCUCAAAAAGUUUUAUGUUAAAUUCCAAUGCCUAACAUUGGAUCUGCGUAAAAAACUUUUGAGGUUGAGUCAGACAGAGGAAAGCAGAAUUCCUGGUGUAGCGGUGAAAUGCAUUGAUAUCAGGAGGAAUACCAAUUGCGAAGGCAGCUUUCUGGGUCUUGACUGACGCUAAGGCUCGAAAGCGUGGGUAGCAAAACGGAUUAGAUACCCGGGUAGUC